rnacentral:tRNA from 1 species
GUCAGAAUGGCCGAGCGGUCUAAGGCGCUAGACUCAAGUUCUGGUCUCCAUUUGGAGGCGUGGGUUCGAAUCCCACUUCUGACA